UGAGGAAUAUUGGGCAAUGCCCGCAAGGGUGACCCAGCAACGCCGCGUGGAGGAUGAAUGUCGUAAGAUUGUAAACUCCUGUUAGAGGGGAAGAAUAGUACCGGUUGGACCGGUAUAUGACUGUACCCUCAGAGAAAGCCCCGGCUAACUACGUGCCAGCAGCCGCGGUAUUACGUAGGGGGCAAGCGUUGUCCGGAUUUACUGGGUGUAAAGGGCGCGCAGGCGGGAUAAAAAGUCAGUGGUGAAAUCCUACAGCUUAACUGUAGAACUGCCUUUGAUACUUUUAUUCUUGAGUUCGGGAGAGAGAGACGGAAUUCCAGGUGUAGUGGUGAAAUACGUAGAUAUCUGGAAGAACACCAGUUGCGAAGGCGGUCUCUUGGUCCGACACUGACGCUGAGGCGCGAAAGCGUGGGGAGCAAACA
rnacentral:rRNA from 1 species